UACGUAGGUGGCGAGCGUUGUCCGGAAUUACUGGGUGUAAAGCGCGUGUAGGCGGGAGGCCAAGUCUGUGGUGAAAUCGCUCGGCUUAACUGGGCGGGGUCCAUGGAAACUGGUCACCUGGAGGUCGGUAGAGGCAAGUGGAAUUCCCGGUGUAGUGGUGAAAUGCGUAGAGAUCGGGAGGAACACCAGUGGCGAAGGCGGGUCUCUGG
rnacentral:rRNA from 1 species